AGAAGGUUGUACUGAAGACACGAGACCUGAGACUUGUGUCAUUUUAGCGGCUGAACCGACCCCAACUUCUUCUGAGUGGCAGUGGCGCCAGAAGCAGUCUGGCUUUCAGAAUUCUGGAUUCAUUACCAGCGUCUACCAUAUGCCCUGACAACUAUGACCACAAUGGGUGAGUUGACUGAUCUAAGUGGUGAAAAAUGCUGGCAGCAUCAAUGGCAAAAACAGCUUUCCAUAAGAGAGUUUAAGCAUCUUUAGGUAGCGUUGUUUUUGAACCUAUGUGGAAAAAAUAAGGUCAGGUCAGAAGAGGGACAUUUGGUACUCGAAGAUUGUUUGUGACUCUUAGUAAUUGGCAGCCAAAACCCUUAGGAGACUAUCAGAAUGCCUGUGUAUGAGACUCUAUCAAGAGCAAUUCAAGAGAGGAGAGAAUCCUACUUGGAAAAAGGUGGUGGUAGCAUUGGACAGGCAGCAGAAUAGCCCUUAGCAGAAAGAAAAGAGCUAAGAGACCCUGUAUCUGUCCCUCACCCUUCAGAGCUGGUGCCCAAACCCAAAGCCAUCAUCACAUUGGAUGGAGCCCCUGCCUCAGGUUUAGUCACUUGAUCCUAUUUGAGGGGAAGCAAAGAUACCUGUGACUCAUGAAGAGCAUGAGUCACAUGGUGGAGAGACUUGAGAAUUAGGAAAUCAAAAUGGGCAAGAACGAUGUGUGCCUUCAAAUGGAACAUGAAUUUGAAGCAAAUUUCGGUUCAAUUUGCUGUCACACAUAAUGAUCAGGUUCAGUAAUAAAGAAUUGUACUUAAAUUUUGAUUCAUUAAACUUUCUGGAGAGUCCUAAACAAUUUAUAUUACUAACACAUAGAGACUUCUUUCUGGAGAAAAAUGAAGUACCAGGUGCCAAGUAACAGAUUUACAUGAGAAUUUUUUAGGGAUAACACAUUGCAAUUUGUAGCACAGUCAUAGCCAAUUUGAACCAAAAAAAAAAAAAAAAAAAAAAAAGGAGUGUAUGAAUUUACGUUGUUUCUUCCUGUUUGCUUUUAAUCCUUUGCACUGAUCCCAAUGAAUUGACAUCAGAAAUCUGUGCUGGAGCUAACAAUGAAAGGUGAUGUGAUAAUAUAUAUUGGAGAUGGGAGGAAUUCAGGUUCCUGAAAAUUGGUCUCAGAAUUAUUCAUGGGAAAAUAGUGUUCUGGACACUGAUUCUAAAAUUCUUUCUAAAAAGUUAGGUCUUAAGUGAGCUAAGUCAUAUUUACCAUAUCCUUCAGAUUCAAGGAAUUUUGAUGUUCAAAUACAUUGGUCGUAUCUCCACUUCAUGUGGCAAAUCUGUAAUAUGUUUUUACAUUUGGUGUUUAGAGUAAAAUACAGCACCC
rnacentral:lncRNA from 1 species